rnacentral:lncRNA from 1 species
AAAGUCUUGCAUUGUUGGGCAGCCUGGGUGGUGCAGUGGUUUAGUGCCGCCUGCAGCCCGGGGCCUGGUCCUGGAGACCCGGGAUCGAGUCGAGUCCCAUGUCGGGCUCCCUGCAUGGAGCCUGCUCCUCCCUCUGCCUGUGUCUUUGCCUCUCUCUCUCUCUCUUUCUCUCUCUCUCUUGUUCUGUGUGUCUCUAUGAAUAAAUAAAAAAUCUUUAAAAAAAGUCUUGCGUUGUUUACCUUGUUGUUUUAUUUUUCCAGCUGUGAUGAAGGCUAUACGGGGGCGAGAUGUGAGAGAGUUGACUUGUUUUACCUCAGAGGAGAUAGAGGGCAGAUUUUGGUGAUCUGUUUGAUAGCAGUUAUGGUCAUAUUUAUCAUUUUGGUGGUCGGUGUCUGCACAUGCUGUCAUCCACUGAGGAGGCGUCGUAAAAGAAGGAAGAAAGAAGAAGAAAUGGAAACUCUGGGUAAAGAUAUAACUCCAAUAAAUGAAGAUAUUCAAGAGACUAGUAUUGCUUAAUGGUAAGUGUGAUGAAUUUGGUAGAAGGGAUACUAUUCAGGUGAUAGUUACCUGAUGAAAUGGGCCUUAACUUUGUCUAGGAAAUCAAUGAGUAGAUUUUGAUUAUGCUUAGAAACAUCUAAAAGUAAAUCGAUUUUUUUCAUGCAAUCCAAAGCCAAAUAAAAGACUUUCUCAUAUCUCUCUUUUGUGUGUU